UACGAAGGGGGCUAGCGUUAAUCGGAAUUACUGGGCGUAAAGCGUGCGCAGGCGGCUUUGCAAGACAGAUGUGAAAUCCCCGGGCUCAACCUGGGAACUGCAUUUGUGACUGCAAGGCUAGAGUACGGCAGAGGGGGAUGGAAUUCCGCGUGUAGCAGUGAAAUGCGUAGAUAUGCGGAGGAACACCGAUGGCGAAGGCAAUCCCCUGGGCCUGUACUGACGCUCAUGCACGAAAGCGUGGGGAGCAAACAGG
rnacentral:rRNA from 1 species